rfam:Brachypodium distachyon strain Bd21 chromosome 2, whole genome shotgun sequence.
GAUAUACCCCCUCCGUCCCAUAAUUCUUGUCGAAAUAUGACAUGUAUCUAGACCCUUUUUAGGAACAGAUACAUCCAUUUUUGGGCAAAUUUGAGACAAGAAUUAUGGGAUGGAGGGAGUAACAU